rnacentral:lncRNA from 1 species
GCAAGAUGGUCUUUGCGCGAUCUAGCACUCUCGAGGAGAUCGAUCAGAUCGAGACUUCGAGUAGACUAUCCGUAGAAGUCGGAUAUCCUGUACAGCUAUGAGCGACUAGCAAAGACUUCUUUAUCACGUUCAUCAACAAUGAAGAUCAUCGACUCAUACUUAAGUAUUGAGUUUUGAACUCAAAUAGAUGUAGAUUUGAUCUACUGCUUACAUCC